rnacentral:rRNA from 1 species
GACGUAGGGCGCGAGCGUUGUCCGGAUUUAUUGGGCGUAAAGAGCUCGUAGGCGGCUUGUCGCGUCGACUGUGAAAACCCGCAGCUCAACUGUGGGCUUGCAGCCGAUACGGGCAGGCUAGAGUUCGGUAGGGGAGACUGGAAUUCCUGGUGUAGCGGUGAAAUGCGCAGAUAUCAGGAAGAACACCCGUGGCGAAGGCGGCUCUCUGGGACGGUACUGACGCUGAGACGCGAAAGCGUGGGGAGCAAACAGG